rnacentral:rRNA from 1 species
GGACCGGGAUAAUUCCUGGAAACGGGUUGUAAUACCGGAUGAGACCACGUCGUCCACGGGCGAUGGGGUCAAAGUCGUGGGACCCUUCGGGGCCACGAGCCCGGGGAGCGGACUAGCCCCGAUUAGCUUGAUGGUGGGGUAACGGCCCACCAUGGCGAUGAUCGGUAGCCGGCCUGAGAGGGUGUUCGGCCACACUGGGACUGAGACACUGCCCAGACUCCUACGGGAGGCUGCAGUCGCGAAUCAUUCACAAUGGACGCAAGUCUGAUGAUGCCACGCCGCGUGUAGGAUGAAGGCCCUAGGGCUGUAAACUACUGUCAAGCGAGGGGAACCUUCACGAUACAAGAUGUCGUGGACUGACUGCUCGCUAAAGGAAGGUCCGGCUAAACACGUGCCAGCAGCCGCGGUAAUACGUGUGGACCAAGCGUUGUUCGGAAUUACUGGGCUUAAAGGGUGCGUAGGCGGCCUGGCAAGUCAGUGGUGAAAGUCCGCCGCCCAACGGUGGAAUUGCCAUUGAUACUGCCUGGCUCGAGUGUGCUAGGGGGAUGCGGAAGGAGUGGUGUAGCGGUGAAAUGCGUAGAUNUCACUCGGAAGGCCGGGGGCGAAGGCGGCAUCCUGGGGCACAACUGACGCUGAGGCGCGAAAGCGUGGGGAGCAAACAGGAUUAGAUACCCUGGUAGUCCACGCCGUAAACGAUGAGCACUAGAUGGCUGAUACUUGUGAUUGGCUGUCGUAGGGAAACCGAUAAGUGCUCCGCCUGGGGAGUAUGGUCGGCAAGGCUGAAACUCAAAGGAAUUGACGGGGGCUCACACAAGCGGUGGAGGAUGUGGUUUAAUUCGAAGCAACGCGAAGAACCUUACCAGGCCCUUGACAUGCAGGGAUAACCGUGGUGAAAGCCGCGGGAUUUGCCUUUACGGGUGUAACCUGCACAGGUGCUGCAUGGCUGUCGUCAGCUCGUGCCCGUGAGGGUGUUUAGGUUAAGUCCUUUAACGAGCGAAACCCCUAUCGUCAGUUGCCAUCGGUUCGCCGGGGACUCUGGCGAGACUGCCGCGUUGAAGCAGGAGGAAGGUGGGGACGACGUCAAGUCAUCAUGGCCCUUAUGGUCUGGGCUACACACGUCCUACAAUGGGCGGUACAGAGGGUUGCCAAGCCGCGAGGCGGAGCCAAUCCCUUAAAGCCGUCCCCAGUUCGGAUAGCAGGCUGCAAUUCGCCUGCUUGAAGCCGGAAUCGCUAGUAAUCGCGGGUCAGCUAUACCGCGGUGAAUCUGUUCCUGAGCCUUGUACACACCGCCCGUCAAGCCACCCGAAUUGGUCGCACCACGAAGUCAUAGUUCCAACCUCGUGAGGGACGUGCCGAAGGUGAGGCUGGUAAGGGGG